rnacentral:tRNA from 1 species
CCUGGCGGCUCGGAGGUUAAAGCGUCUGCCUGGAAUGCAGGAGACCCAGGUUCGAUCCCUGGGUCGGGA